AUGGGUUCUCAGGGGAUUCUACUUCCUCUCAUACUGAUUUAUAGUCAGGGUUCCUGGGCACAGAUUACACUGACACAGACUCCGAAUGCCAUCACUGCGACUCCAGGACAGACAGUCACCAUCUCAUGUAAAUCCAGUACUGGUGUCAGCAACAACUUACACUGGUACCAGCAGAAACCAGGACAACCUCCAACACUGAUUAUAUACUAUGCAACCAAUCUGCAUUCUGGAGCCCCAGCCAGGUUCAGUGGAUCUGGAUCUGGAACAGAUUUCACUCUUAAAAUCAACAACAUAAAGGAUGAAGAUGAAGCAAAUUAUUACUGUCAGCAGAGUAACAGCUUUCCUCUCACACAGUGGUACAGAGCCGUACAAAAACCUAAUUCCUCUUUUACAUGCAGUGAUGACCUAAAUAUAACAUCUUCAUGUAACUGA